rnacentral:rRNA from 1 species
UACGUAGGGUGCAAGCGUUGUCCGGAAUUAUUGGGCGUAAAGAGCUCGUAGGCGGUUUGUCGCGUCGAAUGUGAAAACCCGGGGCUCAACCCCCGGGCCUGCAUUCGAUACGGGCAGACUAGAGUGUGGUAGGGGAGACUGGAAUUCCUGGUGUAGCGGUGGAAUGCGCAGAUAUCAGGAGGAACACCAAUGGCGAAGGCAGGUCUCUGGGCCACAACUGACGCUGGAGGAGCGAAAGCGUGGGGAGCGAACAGGA